rnacentral:rRNA from 1 species
GAUGAACGCUGGCGGCGUGCCUAAUACAUGCGAGUCGAGCGAACAGACGAGGAGCUUGCUCCUCUGACGUUAGCGGCGGACGGGUGAGUAACACGUGGAUAACCUACCUAUAAGACUGGAUAACUUCGGGAAACCGGAGCUAAUACCGGAUAAUAUAUUUAACCGCAUGGUUCCAUAGUGAAAGACGGUUUUGCUUUCACUUAUUGAUGGAUCCGCGCCGCAUUAGCUAGUUGGUAAGGUAACGGCUUACCAAGGCGACGAUGCGUAGCCGACCUGAGAGGGUGAUCGGCCACACUGGAACUGAGACACGGUCCAGACUCCUACGGGAGGCAGCAGUAGGGAAUCUUCCGCAAUGGGCGAAAGCCUGACGGAGCAACGCCGCGUGAGUGAUGAAGGUCUUCGGAUCGUAAAACUCUGUUAUUAGGGAAGAACAAAUGUGUAAGUAACUAUGCACGUCUUGACGGUACCUAAUCAGAAAGCCACGGCUAACUACGUG